AUUGAACGCUGGCGGCGUGCCUACCACAUGCAAGUCGAGCGGUAACAGGUGUAGCAAUACAUGCUGGSGAGCGGCGWWCGGGUGAGUAAUGCUUCGGAAUCUACCUUAUGGUGGGGAAUAACUAGUCGAAAGAUUAGCUAAUCCCGCAUACGUCSUACGGGAGAAAGCAGGGGAUCGUAAGACCUUSCGCCAAAAGAUGARCCGAAGUSGGAUUAGCUAGUUGGUAGGGUAACGACCUACCAAGGCGRCGAUCCGUAGCUGGUCUGAGAGGACGACCAGCCACWCUGGAAGUGAGACACGGUCCAGACUCCUACGGGAGGCAGCAGUGGGGAAUAUUGGACAAYRGGGGAAACCCUGAUCCARCGACGCCGCGUGUGUGAAGAAGGCCUSCGGGUUGUAAAGCACUYUUAGUGGGGAUGAAAUGUGCAGAGUUAAUACCU
rnacentral:rRNA from 1 species